GUCCUGAGAAGAUGCUGAUGUUUCCUGAGUGGAAGUGCUAGACGAAGGUGCCUUUGUCUGUUGCUCCACAUUAGUUGUCUUUUCGUCUACAGCACUUGUCAUCAAGACCGCUGAGGUGACUGGAGUAGAAGAUGUAGGUACAGAGGAUGGUAUGCCAACUCCUUGUCCCACAGUGGUGUCUGCUGAGCUCUGGAAGGUACAAAGAUGAAGACAAGUUCCUCCACUUUGGAGAAUAAAGAGCACCUGUGUGGAAGGAAAACCUUCAGUCCCACAACCUAUGUGCAGCCCUGGGAAGCCAGGCACCAAGGACUGUAUCCUCCUUUUGAAUCUUUAUGUAAAGAACUGGCUAAUCGUGGGCCAAGCUGAUUAGAGUCUCCUGCUCCAUCGAACAGAAAGAGCAUCUACAAAGCUCGAGCCAAGCUGUGCCACCAUACACUAUUCGAGAGAUACUUGAUCCUUCUCAUCAGAAGAAACUUAUGUUGGGAGAUCAGCACCAGAUUGUGCACUUCUCCAUAAAGCCUCCUCAUGCUGAACAGAUUACACAUGGCCGGUGACUGAUGAGCAGACUUCCGGUGCACUGCGGUCGGAGGUCACCUCUUUCUUUGUGGACUGGAUGGGUCCUCGAAUGUAUCCCGUGGCUGUACUGUCUCUCUUACCUCAUUGUCUGCUUAAUUACUUAUUUUUCCCUUUCCAAAUUCUAUUUUCUUAUUCUCUCUGAUUCUAUUCUUGCCCCUAUUAUUUCACUGGCAUGAAUCUGAAAGAACUCCACUCUUUGUAUCCUUAAGAAAAAAUAGGUCCUCUCUUCACAAACUUCACCACCUUCCUCAUCUUUUUGAAUACAAUGUACUUAUUGUUGAAAUAGAUGAGAACCGACAGUGAAUAAAAGAGGAAGUGGGCGGGAGCCAUUUUUUUUUAAUUGAUCAUUUUACAGUUUUGAACGUAAUUUUUUUUUUUUAAACGCCUACAGCACCUGGUCUUCCUAGGUGGUCUCCCAUCCAAGCACUAACCAGGCCCGACCCUGCUUAGCUUCUGAGAUCAGAUGAGAUCGGGCACGUUCAGGAUGGCAUGGCCGUAGACUUUGAAUGUAAUUCGAAUUGUGAUAGGCAUACUUAUGUUGAGUCUCAUGGAAUAAGAUUUGUGUAACUGCUAAGAUCUAGAAACGUUUGGAGGGCUUUCAGGAGUGUAGUAGAUAUAAGGUAGACAGUUAGAAGCCGGGUGUAACAGACUCGUGGGAACUGGAGACAGGAAGACCAGUAAUAUUCGUUUCAGUUUAGUCUAAAUCUGUUUGAAUUAAUUUUUUCUAUUAGAGAUAUUGGUGCAUAUUAGUGAGUGAUCCAACAUUUACAUUUUUACAGGUAGAAAGAUAUUUAAGUAUGCAUAAGAAACUUCACAAAGUAUGUAAAGUUAGGUUCACAACUAAGAUGUUAGAUGAGCUCCCCACCCAAAAAAAAAAAAAACUGUAAGAGUAUGACUCUUUAAAAUCAAUUAUAAAUUAUAUGAAAUGUAUUAACAAUAAAAUAAA